UACGAAGGGGGCUAGCGUUGUUCGGAAUCACUGGGCGUAAAGCGCACGUAGGCGGUUCUUUAAGUCAGGGGUGAAAUCCCGAGGCUCAACCUCGGAACUGCCUUUGAUACUGGGGAUCUCGAGUCCGGGAGAGGUGAGUGGAACUGCGAGUGUAGAGGUGAAAUUCGUAGAUAUUCGCAAGAACACCAGUGGCGAAGGCGGCUCACUGGCCCGGAACUGACGCUGAGGUGCGAAGGCCAGGGGAGCAAACGGG
rnacentral:rRNA from 1 species